AUUGAACGCUGGCGGCAGGCUUAACACAUGCAAGUCGAGCGAGCGGCGGACGGGUGAGUAAUGUCUGGGAAACUGCCGGAUGGAGGGGGAUAACUACUGGAAACGGUAGCUAAUACCGCAUCCCAUCAGAUGUGCCCAGAUGGGAUGAGCUAGUAGGUGGGGUAAUGGCUCACCUGGGCGACGAUCCCUAGCUGGUCUGAGGGGAUGACCAGCCAGACUGGAACUGAUGCACGGUCCAGACUCCUACGGGAGGCAGCAGUGGGGAAUAUUGCGCAAUGGGCGCGAGCCUGAUGCAGCCAUGCCGCGGAUGUGAAGAAGGCCUUAGGGUUGUAAAGCACUUUCGGCGAGGAGGCGUUACUCGCAGAAGAAUCACCGGCUAACUCCGUGCCAGCAGCCGCGGUAAUAC
rnacentral:rRNA from 1 species